GUGGCGUUUAAUAAUGUCCCGACACUGCGGAGUGGGUUAUGAGAGACGCCGUUGUGGAUGACUCCGGAUUCGUUUUGGCUUCCUGGGGUUCUUUAACGUGCACCCAAAUCAAGCAGCAACUGGCGGUUUGUCAACGAUUCCUUCAGCUGCGCCUGUUCCACAUGCGAUGCACAUGGCGACCCUCCGGAGAAGGGCGCUUACGAUCCCAAUUGCGAAACGGAGACGCAGUUGUAAAUGGGUCGCAGACUUGACUGCCAACUGCUUUUUGCCAUCCGACAAUGGGUAUUCGCGCGUCCUUGGUCAAUCCCAGCUGCAGAAUGCGUAUGUGGCACUGUGGCCCACAAGAGAAAGAGAAUCCGCAAGCUGGAAUAUUAGAAAAGAAAAUGAAGGUAAAAGUUCUACUUCUUUAAUUUUGUGCUCGUACUUCAGCGCCAGUACGGCAGUGUCACGCCACGAAUUUCAAUGCACGUCAUUUGAGCGGUGGGAGGUACAGCUGACCGGCGAUACCCUGGUGGGACAGGAAGCUCUCGUCCAGCAAGUACGUCGAGCAGCCAUGGCCAGUGGAGUCCUGGAAUGAGGGCACCACCCACUCGACCUCAAGAGUAACCACCUCGAUGGUUCAAAUAAAUGUUCUCUCUUUCUCUCUCUGGGA